rnacentral:rRNA from 1 species
AUGUCUAUUAGAAUAAAAUUUUUAGUCUGGCCUGCCCCCUGAUAAGUUUAAAGGGCCGCGGUAUUUGGACCGUGCUAAGGUAGCGUAAUCAGUAGUCUUUUAAUUGGAGUCUAGAAUGAAUGGUCGGAUGAGGUAUAAUUUGUCUUCGGGUGUAUUGUUUGAAUUUUACUUUUAAGUGAAAAGGCUUAAAUAUCGUGAGGGGACGAUAAGACCCUAUGAAGCUUUAUAUUAUCGAUUUCAGUGUUUAAUAAUAUUGUGUUUGAAUUAGUAAUUUAAUAAUAUUUUGUUGGGGCGACAGGAAUAUAAGUUUAACUGUUCUUAGUGGAAAAAUAAUUGAUUUUUAGGUUGUUGAUCUUGUAUGUUAUGGAUUAAAAGAUUUAAUGUUACUCUAGGGAUAACAGCGUAAUUUUUCUUGAGAGUUCUUAUCGACAGAAAUAUUUGCGACCUCGAUGUUGAAUUAAGGUUACGCCAUGGUGCAGGAGCUGUGGAAGGUAGGUCUGUUCGACCUUUAAAAUCUUACAUGAUUUGAGUUCAGACCGGCGUG